AUGAAACCACUCAAUUACCUAUCCGUUCGGUUUCAUUUCCGAGGCGAAUUACAUCAUGAUGGAAUUCAGUGGAAAUAUUUGGAUGGAAGGUCAGGAAUGUCCACAAUUGAGUAUGACAAAUUGUGUCUACAAGAUUUGAAGAAACACCUUGCAGAUCAUGUUUCUUGUUCUGAUGAGGUACUAAAUGCCACAACUUUGCAUUGGAUGUUUCCUUUAAAUGGCAAAGGUGCUCUGGUUAUUAUGGAUGAUGAAGAAUCGGUCCUUCAAAUGGUCAAAUGUGUAACUGAUGUUGGUGUUAUAGAUCUUUAUGCUAACAUGCCAAAAGAGCCUAGUGCCAAGACUAGUGAUUGGGAGGUAGAACAGGGAGAGGGACAAUGGGGAGAAGAACAACAAAAACAAUGUGUAGAUCAGCAGAAAAAUUCAGAGGAAUGCAAAGGAGGUGCAGAGGAGAUGCAAGAGACAGCUGAAGAUGCACGUGCGUUUCAUCAGCCCUAA
rnacentral:rRNA from 1 species